UACGAAGGGGACUAGCGUUGUUCGGAAUUACUGGGCGUAAAGCGCACGUAGGCGGACAUUUAAGUCAGGGGUGAAAUCCCGGGGCUCAACCCCGGAACUGCCUUUGAUACUGGGUGUCUUGAGUUCGGAAGAGGUGAGUGGAAUUGCGAGUGUAGAGGUGAAAUUCGUAGAUAUUCGCAGGAACACCAGUGGCGAAGGCGGCUCACUGGUCCGAUACUGACGCUGAGGUGCGAAAGCGUGGGGAGCGAACAGG
rnacentral:rRNA from 1 species